rnacentral:rRNA from 1 species
CAGGUGGUGCAUGGUUGUCGUCAGCUCGUGUCGUGAGAUGUUGGGUUAAGUCCUGCAACGAGCGCAACCCUCGACCUUAGUUGCCAGCAUUCAGUUGGGCACUCUAAGGUGACUGCCGGCUAAAAGUCGGAGGAAGGUGGGGAUGAUGUCAAAUCAUCAUGCCCCUUAUGACCUGGGCUACACACGUGCUACAAUGGUUGGUACAACGAGUUGCGAGUCGGUGACGGCGAGCUAAUCUCUUAAAGCCAAUCUCAGUUCGGAUUGUAGGCUGCAACUCGCCUACAUGAAGUCGGAAUCGCUAGUAAUCGCGGAUCAGCACGCCGCGGUGAAUACGUUCCCGGGCCUU